rnacentral:rRNA from 1 species
CUCUGUCGGUGAANNGCCGUGCAGAGUGACGGUACCUUCAGAAGAAGCCCCGGCUAACUACGUGCCAGCAGCCGCGGUAAUACGUAGGGGGCAAGCGUUGUCCGGAAUCAUUGGGCGUAAAGAGCGUGUAGGCGGCUUGACAAGUCUGCUGUGAAAGUCCAGGGCUCAACCCUGGAAUGCCGGUGGAAACUAUCAGGCUAGAGUCCGGAAGAGGCGAGUGGAAUUCCUGGUGUAGCGGUGAAAUGCGCAGAUAUCAGGAGGAACACCGAUAGCGAAGGCAGCUCGCUGGGACGGUACUGACGCUGAGACGCGAAAGCGUGGGGAGCAAACAGGAUUAGAUACCCUGGUAGUCCAAGGG